rnacentral:rRNA from 1 species
AACGAACGCUGGCGGCAUGCCUAACACAUGCAAGUCGAACGAGAUCUUCGGGUCUAGUGGCGCACGGGUGCGUAACGCGUGGGAGUCUGCCCUUUGGUUCGGAAUAACAGUUGGAAACGACUGCUAAUACCGGAUGAUGACGAAAGUCCAAAGAUUUAUCGCCAGAGGAUGAGCCCGCGUAGGAUUAGCUAGUUGGUGUGGUAAAGGCGCACCAAGGCGACGAUCCUUAGCUGGUCUGAGAGGAUGAUCAGCCACACUGGGACUGAGACACGGCCCAGACUCCUACGGGAGGCAGCAGUGGGGAAUAUCGGACAAUGGGCGAAAGCCUGAUCCAGCAAUGCCGCGUGAGUGAUGAAGGCCUUAGGGUUGUAAAGCUCUUUUACCCGGGAUGAUAAUGACAGUACCGGGAGAAUAAGCUCCGGCUAACUCCGUGCCAGCCGCCGCAGUAA